rnacentral:rRNA from 1 species
CAGCCGCCGCGGUAAUACGUAGGUGGCAAGCGUUGUCCGGAAUUAUUGGGCGUAAAGGGCUCGCAGGCGGUUUCUUAAGUCUGAUGUGAAAGCCCCCGGCUCAACCGGGGAGGGUCAUUGGAAACUGGGAAACUUGAGUGCAGAAGAGGAGAGUGGAAUUCCACGUGUAGCGGUGAAAUGCGUAGAGAUGUGGAGGAACACCAGUGGCGAAGGCGACUCUCUGGUCUGUAACUGAUGCUGAGGAGCGAAAGCGUGAGGAGCGAACAGGAUUAGAUACCCCUGUAGUCCCUGUCUCUUAUAU